rnacentral:rRNA from 1 species
UACGAAGGGGGCUAGCGUUGUUCGGAAUCACUGGGCGUAAAGCGCACGUAGGCGGACUUUUAAGUCAGGGGUGAAAGCCUGAGGCUCAACCUCAGAACUGCCCUUGAUACUGGGAGUAUUGAGUAUGGUAGAGGUUGGUGGAACAGCAAGUGUAGAGGUGAAAUUCGUAGAUAUUUGCUAGAACACCAGUGGCGAAGGCGGCCAACUGGACCAUAACUGACGCUGAGGUGCGAAAGCGUGGGGAGCAAACAGG